UACAGAGGGUGCGAGCGUUAAUCGGAAUUACUGGGCGUAAAGCGCGCGUAGGCGGCUUUGCAAGCCGGAUGUGAAAUCCCCAGGCCUAACCUGGGAACUGCAUUCGGGACUGCAUGGCUAGAGUAUCGGAGAGGGAAGUGGAAUUUCAGGUGUAGCGGUGAAAUGCGUAGAUAUCUGAAGGAACAUCAGUGGCGAAAGCGACUUCCUGGACGAAUACUGACGCUCAUGUGCGAAAGCGUGGGGAGCAAACAGG
rnacentral:rRNA from 1 species